UGGUGUCAACGGCCGGCGCGCAGCUUUGUGCGCCUCACAGGAAAAAAAAAAAAAUCAAAAACGCUGCGGAAAGGUUUCUUGUGAGAGACUCUCUCGCUAAGUCAAGCUGAUAAUAAAAUCGAGGAAGACGAUCUGGUUUUACUCAGUGGAAUAAAAAUGUAGCCGUAGCGAGGGCGAUAAAAUAAUACCCUAAGCCUGAGGGCCGGCCGGGCGGGCCGCGGUGAGCCCAGCCUAGCAGCCACACCCGGCACGGAGCCUGCAGUGCCGGGGAAGAGCGUUCGGGAGAAAAUUCCCCUUCCCUCCUUCAUUUGGGAUUCGGGGGCGCUUCCUCGCCGCAGCACCAGUAGCCGAGGAAUUGAUAAACUUCCAUAUUGACCUCUGGGAAACGCAGAGCAGUUUUGCAGUUUUGAAGCUAGGGCGCGUGUUUCCGCAGUACCGCGCUGCGGCGUUGCCAAGGGGGAUGUUUUGGCAGCUGGGGAGAUUGUAACUCUGCAAGGUGCUGGGCCCUGGCCGGCAGCUUUACCAGCAGCUUGUGGGUAGCCAGUGCUCCUGGAGCGAGGCUGCUCAGCAGCCGGGUCGGGGAGUGGGUGUAGCUGUGACUACCUUGAGCUGCUUUUCUUCCUCAGAGAUUGAUUCUGGCAGGUAGUGGUGGACAUGCUGGCCUGGUUCUCCUUGCAGGUGUCUCGCUUGUCUCAAUACAAGGAAAGGCAUCUUAAGAAAAGACCAAGGAUUUGCACUCCUUCAGCAGAGCCCCCUAGAUUACUAAAUGGUUGAACAUCAAGCAUCUCUCUGAGUGGAUCUCUUGAGAUCCUGUGUGACCAAAUUUCAGAUUCUACUUUCCUCCUUUUACUGGCUAAAGACCCUCAUGGAUUACUCUUGCCAGUAGAGUCAUCUUUGAAGAUGCAGUCUGCAAAGCAUUUCUCCAAGCCUACCAAGGAUGAGACAAGCUUUCUUCGCAGCAGUGUGGAUGCUCAGCUUUUUGUGAGAAAGCUAGAUGGGAAACUGGGAAUCUGCCUGUUCUACAAGCAGACUCUAAUUUUCAAAGCUAUGUAAACAGAAGAAGAAAACUUAUCUUUUGAGUUUCAUUUGGAUGCUUUCAAAUUUCUGUGCAUGUUA